AAGUAGUUUCAUACAAUCAGAGCUUUACUCGACAUCCAUUGGUUGGAAACACAACAGUUAGCUUAACGGUUCAUUGGCUAAUUCCUGCAUGAAGAAUAACUUCACAUCCUUGAAGUUUGUAUGAAACAGAGGACGGUGUUUUCUAUGGACCCCUCCCCUUAAAGCCUUGUUUACCUGUGAACAACGACAGUGGAGACAGCCUGAGAGACACAGAGCUGAGGAAGUUUAAGGGAGAAGAAAUAAGGAGAUACGGUUUACAGGCGAUAAUUGUAAAAAGGAGAAUCAUAAAUGGAGCCAGGAUGUCUGAAGUGAUGAAAAUAAAGAUGGAAAACCCUGAAGGGGUCAGCUUGGAGUCUCCCAU